UCUCCGUUGGUGAACCAGCGGAGGGAUCAUUACCGAGUUAUCAACUCCCAAACCCCUGUUAACCUACCUGAACGUUGCCUCGGCGGCACCGCCCCGGCGCCCCUCUCUCGGCCCGGAACCACGGGCCCGCCGGCCGACCCAACCUCUACCUUUCUUCAGUGGCAUACUCUCUGAGUCUCACAAACAAAAAAUGAAUCCAAACUUUCAACAACGGAUCUCUUGGCUCUG
rnacentral:misc_RNA from 1 species